GUGGGGAAUAUUGGGCAAUGGGCGAAAGCCUGACCCAGCAACGCCGCGUGAAGGAAGAAGGUCUUCGGAUCGUAAACUUCUAUCCUUGGUGAAGAUAAUGACGGUAGCCGAGAAGGAAGCCCCGGCUAACUACGUGCCAGCAGCCGCGGUAAUACGUAGGGGGCAAGCGUUGUCCGGAAUGAUUGGGCGUAAAGGGCGCGUAGGCGGCUCGGUAAGUCUGAAGUGAAAGUCCUGCUUUUAAGGUGGGGAUUGCUUUGGAUACUGUCGGGCUUGAGUGCAGGAGAGGUAAGCGGGAUUCCCGGUGUAGCGGUGAAAUGCGUAGAGAUCGGGAGGAACACCAGUGGCGAAGGCGGCUUACUGGACUGUAACUGACGCUGAGGCGCGAAAGUGUGGGGAGCAAACAGGAUUAGAUACCCGGGUAGUCC
rnacentral:rRNA from 1 species